rnacentral:rRNA from 1 species
AUGCAUGCAAGUCGAGCGAAGCUUUUCAGUAGUUUACUACAGAAAAUGACUGAGCGGCGAACGGGUGAGUAACGCGUGAGCAAUCUACCUUAGUUACAGGGAUAGCCCGAGGAAACUCGGAUUAAUACCUGAUAUUCUUUACAUUUCGCAUGAAAUCAAAAGGAAAGGUCAGCCGAACUAAGAUGAGCUCGCGUUCUAUCAGCUAGUUGGUGAGGUAAAAGCUUACCAAGGCUACGACGGAUAGCUGGUCUGAGAGGACGAUCAGCCACACUGGGACUGAGACACGGCCCAGACUCCUACGGGAGGCUGCAGCAGGGAAUAUUGUGCAAUGAACGAAAGUUUGACACAGCGACACCGCGUGUGGGAUGACGGAUCUAGGUUUGUAAACCACUUUCAGGAGGGAAGAAAAUGACGGUACCUCCACAAGAAGCCCCGGCCAACUACGUGCCAGCAGCCGCGGUAAUACGUAGGGGGCGAGCGUUGUCCGGAUUUAUUGGGCGUAAAGAGCUCGUAGGCGGUUCAACAAGUCGGUCGUGAAAGUUCAGGGCUCAACCCUGAAAUGUCGAUCGAUACUGUUGUGACUAGUCUAGAGUUCGAGAGAGGUGAGUGGAAUUCCGAGUGUAGAGGUGAAAUUCGUAGAUAUUCGGAGGAACCCAGUGGCGAAGGCGGUCACUGGCUCGAUACUGACGCUGAGGUGCGAAAGGUGGGGAGCAAACGGAUUAGAUACCCGGU